rnacentral:rRNA from 1 species
GAUGAACGCUGGCGGCGUGCCUAAUACAUGCAAGUCGAACGCAUUGUGGUUGAAAUGAUAUGAAGAACUUGUUCAGAUUUGAUUUUCAACAUUGCAAUGAGUGGCGAACGGGUGAGUAACACGUGGGAAACCUACCUCUUAGCAGGGGAUAACAUUUGGAAACAAAUGCUAAUACCCGUAUAAUAAUUAAAACCGCAUGGUUUUAGUUUAAAAGAUGGUCUUGCUAUCACUAAGAGAUGGUCCCGCGGUGUAUUAGUUAGUUGGUGAGGUAAUGGCUCACCAAGACAAUGAUACAUAGCCGAGUUGAGAGACUGACCGGCCACAAUGGGACUGAGACACGGCCCAUACUCCUACGGGAGGCAGCAGUAGGGAAUCUUCCACAAUGGACGAAAGUCUGAUGGAGCAACGCCGCGUGUGUGAAUGAACGGGUUUUCGGCUCGUAAAACACUGUUGUAAGAGAAGAAU